CUAAAUGAAGUUAAUUAAUUGAACUCAAAAAAUGUAAAAGAUAAUUUCAACUUAAUUUGUGAUUUGAACUCAAAAGCUGUUAAGCAGAACUCAAGCUAAAUAAAUUACUAUAAAUUAAUUUAAUCUACCACACAAUCUAUGAUUUUUACGUAUAAAUGGCUGACCACAAAAUAUUUUACAGAAAAAUGAGUAUAAUUCAUGAUUUCAAACAUGUUUAAAGUCAUUUUUACUCGACAAAAUAUUGGCCGGGUGUUUUUCAAAAACCGCGCGCAUUUUUCAGUCAGUCGCGUCCACACUCCGCUCAUCCCCGCGGCACCGCGCUCACUCACUUACACCGAUCACGGCAGGACUACUGGCGACGCGGUCACGGAAAAUAACAAGAACAAUAUCAGUCACUCAAGCUAUGAUCCUGGCAGAUCUAGUAUCUGAAAAGAAGACUCAGCUGAUUUUUUUCAAGACACACAAGGUAGGACACAGUUCAGGACAACUUUAUAUUUACUUGGCAACAUUUUUCUGAGAUCAGCAGAAAUUACUGAAUAGUUGAUCUACGGAUGCUCAUUUUAAAUGGUUAACCAUUAACAGACCGUUAAGAAUUUUGACCGAUUAAAACAAUCAGUUAAAUGGUUUAAAAAGUCAUUUAUUUAUUUUUCAGUAAUUUAUCAAAAUAUUUAAAAAGGUUUGCUGCAUGGUUAAAAUAUGCUACGCGUUUAAUUUUUUUUUUUUUAAAAGUCCCAUUUUAUUAUUUAAUUCAGAAAUAGGCCUAAUGCAGACGCGAAAUGUUUAAAAACAUUAUAAUAAACUGUAAACACAGCUAGGCUAUUUUAGUUCCCCUCACCCCACAACAAAUCAUUUCAGUUAACUGUAUUUAGAAAAGAACAAGAAUUAAAAAUAUGCCUUUCAGAAGUUAUAGCAAUAUAAACAACAAGCCAAAAGGAAUUAAUUUUGGCUAAAAUGAAACUGAAACCAGCGUUGGCUCUCUCAUUCAACACAAAUUAAAAUGUUUCCGUAUUCACGAUGUAUUUGAAUGCCAAAUUAUUAUUUAUUAUGUACUUCAUUCACGUUCCAAUAUCAAAUAUGUUUUACAUAACUUCACGUUGGUACGGUGAUAACACUUAACAGCACUGAUUUUACUGCAUAUUUAAACUGAGCAGUGUGUUUUUUCCCCCCAUGUUUGACUGACUAUAUUAUUUAUGAUGAUGAACAGGCUGCAUUGUCAAAGUAGCAAAGCUUAACUGUGAGCGUGCAUGCAGCGCCAGUGCAGUCACUUGAGUUUUUCCUUCUAACCGUGAAAGCAACUACUCGUUUUAGUUGUAAAGAUAAUCGGAAUUGUAAACGGUUUUUUGUUUUAUAUAUAUAUAUAUAUGGCCUUGCUUUAUUAUAUUUUUCUCCUCCCACAGAAGCGCUGCAGGUGCGUGAUGUGAUUUGAAGACCAUGUGAAUCCUAAUGUUCUGUUGUUUGCUGCUUUUUGCGCAUGUAAGAUUAAUCCCCGGGAAACAAAUGUUAGUAUUUUUAACGGGUCACAGACACUGAUCCUUUCUAAUUUAAUUCAAUUCUAAUUUAAAAUAAUCUUGUCGGUUAACGGUUAAUAAUCGGUUAACGAGCGUGAGUUAUCGGUUAGAUAAAAUACAGUAUGACAUGUAGACAGUUGUCCUCAGAAUGUCCCCACACCCAAAGUCAAUUAAUUUGACUUCAAGUGUCUCGUUGUUGAUGAGAAGGUUGCUCAGUUUAAUGUCACGGUGGAACACGUCGUGCUGGCAGCAUACGUUCACAGCCUGAGCUGCCUGUCUCAUGACUUGCCGUGCUAAGCUCUCAUUGAGACUUCCACCCUGACGCCCCACAAAGUCUUCCAAAGUCUUGCAAGGAGAGGGACAUUCGAGGAUUAUGACGAAAUGGUCAUCGUAGUCCUUCCAGUCCAGCAGCUGGAUGAUCUCUGCCACUCUGGGGCCUUUAUUUGCCAGGAUUGUGAGGGCGAUCUCCAUUGGAAGAAGUUGCCGAUACCCAGGCUAAAGAAAGACAGUUAUUAUGAUGGGAAGAUAGAAGUCGUUUUCCAAAUGAGGAUUUAGUCCAAUCUUGGACAAGUUACUCUACUGAAAGAAAUAACUGUCUUUGUUAUAAUUGUUAAUAAGAGUAUGUUUUUUUUGUUGUUUUUUUUUUUUUAACUUAGUAGUAAGUAAGUUAGACACUGAUCCUUUCUAAUUUAAUUCAAUUCUAAUUUAAAAUAAUCUUGUCUGUUAAUGGUUAAUAAUCGGUUAACGACCGUUGGUUGUUGGUUAGGAAAAAUAACCA
rnacentral:lncRNA from 1 species